rnacentral:rRNA from 1 species
AACGAACGCUGGCAGCAUGCCUAACACAUGCAAGUCGAACGAGACCUUCGGGUCUAGUUGCGCACGGGUGCUUAACGCGUGGGAACCUGCCCUUAGGUUCGGAAUAACUCCCCUAGAGGGGUGCUAAUACCGGAUAAUCUCUUCGCACCAAAGAUUUCUCGCCUUUGGAUGGGCCCGCGUUGGAUUAGCUAGUUGGUAGGGUAAAAGCCUACCAAGGCGAGGAUGCAUAGCUGGUCUGAUAGGAGGAUCAGCCACGAUGGAACUGCGACACGGACGAGAAUCGUACGGAAGGCAGCAGAGGGGAAUAUAGGACAAGGGGCGAAAGUCUAAUAAAGCAAUGCCGCGUAAGAGAUGAAGGCCUUAGGGUUGUAAAGCUCUUUUACCCGGGAUGAUAAUGACAGUACCGGGAGAAGAAGCACCGGCUAACUACGUG